rnacentral:rRNA from 1 species
AGAGUUUGAUCCUGGCUCAGGAUAAACGCUGGCGGCGUGCCUAACCCAUGUAAGUCGGGCGAUCUGUUCGCAAGAGCAGAGAGCGGCGGAAGGGUGAGUAACACGUAGGAGACCUGCCUCAUCGCAGGGAACAACCCCGCGAAAGCGGGGCUAAUACCCAAGAGGGUCGGUGGUUCGCUCCACCGGUCAGAGUGCCUGCGCAAGCGGGCGCGUGAUGAGAGGGUCCUGCGGCCCAUCAGCUAGUUGGUAGGGUAGUGGCCUACCAAGGCAACGACGGGUAGGGGGUCUGAGAGGACGAUCCCCCACACUGGAACUGAAACACGGUCCAGACGCCUACGGGUGGCAGCAGGGAGGAAUAUUGGGCAAUGGGCGAAAGCCUGACCCAGCAACGCCGCGUGGAGGACGAAGGCCUUCGGGUCGUAAACUCCUUUUGAGGGAGACGAGCAAGGACGGUAUCCCUCGAAUAAGCCACGGCUAACUACGUGCCAGCCGCCGCGGUAAUUC